UACGUAGGAUUCAAGCGUUGUUCGGAAUUACUGGGCGUAAAGGGUGCGUAGGCGGUUUGGUAAGUCGGAUGUUAAAUACAGAAGCUUAACUUCUGAACUGUAUCGGAAACUGUCAGACUAGAGGACAAUAGAGGAAGUCGGAAUUCUCAGUGUAGCGGUGAAAUGCGUAGAUAUUGGGAAGAACACCAGUGGCGAAAGCGGACUUCUGGGUUGUUACUGACGCUGAGGUACGAAAGCGUGGGGAGCAAACGGG
rnacentral:rRNA from 1 species